rnacentral:rRNA from 1 species
GAUGAACGCUAGCGGCAGGCUUAACACAUGCAAGUCGAGGGGUAUGCCGAUUUAUCGGCAGAGACCGGCGCACGGGUGCGUAACGCGUAUGCAAUCUACCUUUCACAGAGGGAUAGCCCAGAGAAAUUUGGAUUAAUACCUCAUAGUAUAGCAGUUUCGCAUGAAACCACUAUUAAAGUUCCAACGGUGAAAGAUGAGCAUGCGUCCCAUUAGCUAGAUGGUAAGGUAACGGCUUACCAAGGCAACGAUGGGGUAGGGUCCGUGAGAGGGAGAUCCCCCACACUGGUACUGAGACACGGACCAGACUCCUAGGGAGGCAGCAGUGAGGAAUAUUGGACAAUGGGCGCAAGCCUGAUCCAGCCAUGCCGCGUGCAGGAUGACGGUCCUAUGGAUUGUAAACUGCUUUUUAUACAGGAAGAAACACUACUUCGUGAAGUAGCUUGACGGUACUG